GCUCAAAUUUGAAAUCUCCUUCGGGCGAAUUGUAGUUUAGAGAAGCGUUUUCUGAUGAGCGGCUGGUACAAGUUCCUUGGAACAGGACAUCACAGAGGGUGACAAUCCCGUCUCUGACCAGUUGCGAGUCUUUCGAGGCGUUUUCAAAGAGUCGGUUUGUUUGGGAAUGCAGACCAAAAUGGGAGGUAAAUACCUUCUAAAGCUAAAUAUUGGCGAGAGACCGAUAGCGAACAAGUACCGUGAGGGAAAGAUGAAAAGAACUUUGAAAAGAGAGUUAAACAGUACGUGAAAUUGUCAAAAGGGAAACGUUUGAAACCAGUAUUUCUUUUGUUUGUUCACCUUUCUGUCUCAGAGGGGGUACUCAAGCUAAAGAGAGUCAACAUCAGUUUCUUUGGGAGGAAAAUGUUUGCAGGAGGUAGCUCUUCUCGGAGAGUGUUAUAACUGUAAAAGAUACUUCUGGAGAGACUGAGGUCUGCAGUGUUCUUACCCCACGGGGAUACCAACACUUGGGAUGUUGACGAAAUGGUUUCCAGCGACCCGUCUUGAAACACGGACCAAGGAGUCUAACAUAUGUGCGAGUAUUUGGGUGGCAAACCCUUUUGCGCAAUGAAAGUGAAAAGGUGGGACCUCUUCUAAGAGAGUGCACCAUCGACCGCGCCUUAUCCCGUAUAAAGCGUGAGUAUGAGCACAUAUGCUGGGACCCGAAAGAUGGUGAACUAUGCCUGAAUAGGGUGAAGCCAGAGG
rnacentral:rRNA from 2 species